rnacentral:rRNA from 1 species
UACGUAGGGUGCAAGCGUUGUCCGGAAUUAUUGGGCGUAAAGAGCUCGUAGGCGGUUUGUCGCGUCUGCUGUGAAAACCCGAGGCUCAACCUCGGGCCUGCAGUGGGUACGGGCAGACUAGAGUGCGGGUAGGGGAGAUUGGAAUUCCUGGUGUAGCGGUGGAAUGCGCAGAUAUCAGGAGGAACACCAAUGGCGAAGGCAGAUCUCUGGGCCGUAACUGACGCUGAGGAGCGAAGACAUGGGGAGCGAACAGG